rnacentral:lncRNA from 1 species
UUCAUAUCACUGUGAGUCACAUAGGAGAAUCUCAAAUACUUGAGAGUCGCAUCAGUUUCUUUCUGGAUUAAUGAGAGCGGCAUCAGUUAUUUUCAUCGGUAAUCUUAACAAUAGUUUCAAAAAUUGUUUAUUAUAUAUAAUUACUCCUCGCUUAACGAUCGAAUUCCGUUCUCACGACUUGGUCGCUAAGCGAGUAACUUGUUCGUAUAUGUCUAGAACAAUUUCUCAUGGCUGUAAAAUAAUUAUGCACAAAACUAUUUUUCUUCAUCAGAUUUUUGAAACUAGGAGUACGGAGAAUUACGUGCGAUAGAAGUCGUAAGCGACGCAUAUGGGCUAAAACCAAAUUUUCCAUUAAAAAAAUAAAAUAAAAAGUCAUAAGCU